rnacentral:rRNA from 1 species
GAGCGCCGUAGCAAUACGGAGCGGCAGACGGGAGAGUAACACGUGGGAACGUACCCUUUGGUUCGGAACAACCCAGGGAAACUUGGGCUAAUACCGGAUAAGCCCUUACGGGGAAAGAUUCAUCGCCGAAGGAUCGGCCCGCGUCUGAUUAGCUAGUUGGUGGGGUAAUGGCCCACCAAGGCGACGAUCAGUAGCUGGUCUGAGAGGAUGAUCAGCCUCACUGGGACUGAGACACGGCCCAGACUCCUACGGGAGGCAGCAGUGGGGAAUAUUGGACAAUGGGCGCAAGCCUGAUCCAGCCAUGCCGCGUGGGUGAUGAAGGCCCUAGGGUUGUAAAGCCCUUUCGGCGGGGAAGAUAAUGACGGUACCCGCAGAAGGAGCCCCGGCUAACUUCGUG